rnacentral:tmRNA from 1 species
GGGGAUGUACCGGUUUCGACGGGGCUUCUGAGGUCGGGAAAGCGGGUGGAGGAUCCUCGUUGUGCCUCCUUAAAAAACGGGGAAUUGCAAGUAAUUGCAGACACAACAGAGCUCGUAGCAGCCUAAGGCUAGCACGUACACCGAAGACCUCGCCUGAGAGAGGUUAAGCAGGCAGUCCUACCGGUUAAGCUUUGCGCCGGAUAGCGACUUUAAUUCCAUGAAGCUACUGGAACCGAAGCCCGCCGAUGGGCCACGCGGGAAUAGGAAUAAUUCAUCUGUCGGCUGCACCCGGAGAUUGUCCCGGAGGAAGAGGUUUCGGACAGGAGUUCGAUUCUCCUCAUCUCCACCA